rfam:Schistosoma rodhaini strain Burundi genome assembly, scaffold: SROB_scaffold0000074
AUCCAGCUGACGAGUUCCAAAUAGGACGAGAUGCGGGUCUUGAAU